rnacentral:rRNA from 1 species
CCGGCGCACGGGUGAGUAACACGUAUCCAACCUGCCGUCUACUCUUGGCCAGCCUUCUGAAAGGAAGAUUAAUCCAGGAUGGCAUCAUGGGUUCACAUGUCCGCAUGAUUAAAGGUAUUUUCCGGUAGACGAUGGGGAUGCGUUCCAUUAGAUAGUAGGCGGGGUAACGGCCCACCUAGUCAACGAUGGAUAGGGGUUCUGAGAGGAAGGUCCCCCACAUUGGAACUGAGACACGGUCCAA